rnacentral:rRNA from 1 species
AGCGGCGGACGGGUGAGUAAUGCCUGGGAAUAUGCCCUGAUGUGGGGGAUAACUAUUGGAAACGAUAGCUAAUACCGCAUAACCUCUUCGGAGCAAAGAGGGGGACCUUCGGGCCUCUCGCGUCAGGAUUAGCCCAGGUGGGAUUAGCUUGUUGGUGAGGUAAUGGCUCACCAAGGCAACGAUCCCUAGCUGGUCUGAGAGGAUGAUCAGCCACACUGGAACUGAGACACGGUCCAGACUCCUACGGGAGGCAGCAGUGGGGAAUAUUGCACAAUGGGGGAAACCCUGAUGUAGCCAUGCCGCGUGUGUGAAGAAGGCCUUCGGGUUGUAAAGCACGUUCAGUCGGGAGGAAGGUAGUGUAGUUAACACCUGCAUUAUUUGACGUUACCUACAGAAGAAGCACCGGCUAACUCCGUGCCAGCAGCCGCGGUAAUACGGAGGGUGCGAGCGUUAAUCGGAAUUACUGGGCGUAAAGCGCAUGCAGGCGGCCUGUUAAGUCAGAUGUGAAAGCCCGGGGCUUAACCUCGGAAUUGCAUUUGAAACUGGCAGG